rnacentral:lncRNA from 1 species
GCUGCUGACCUCCGCCGCUUCACGCCGCGGACUCAGCUCCCGGGCUUUGCGGUCGCUGCCGGUGGGAUGGGGAGGGCCGCGAACCUCUGUCCUCUCAGGCAUUCACCGCGUGGCUGGGAGGGCGCCAGGAGGCCGAGGCCGGGGCUGCCAUGCGCUCCCGGUGCCUCACCCCGCAGGUCGGUCCGCCUCGUGGGCUGUGGGGCAGACGACCGGGAAGCCCCGAGAUCUCCAGAUCCUCGAUCGGGACCGAAAAGGCCCUGAACUUGUGCAGUGACUUGCCAUUGAGUCCGGGAGGUUCUGGAGACCUGGGUGACGGAAGAACGCCCAAGGCCGACUGCUGCCCUCAGUUAUCGGGGUGAGGUUUCCACCUGAGGCCGGCGCCCAGGGCAAACAGGAAAUGCGAGUUUUAGGAGAUUCUCCUACCGGAAUGUCACCUCCCUUCCCCGCCAGAAACGAACCGCCCUCUCCGCCAGUAAUUGAAAACCGAAGGGCAGCCCUUAGCGAAUGAAAACUCCAGAAACCAGGAGGGUCAGGGAGGGUCAUCAUCUGAAUAGAAUGACUCUUGUGGCUCUUGGGGUUUCCUGAAUCAGUCAUUUUAGGAACUGAAAAGGCCUUACGAGGAUCAAGUGGUCAUUAGCUUCU